rnacentral:rRNA from 1 species
CCUACGGGUGGCAGCAGUGAGGCAUAUUGGUCAAUGGACGAGAGUCUGAACCAGCCAAGUAGCGUGAAGGAUGACUGCCCUAUGGGUUGUACACUUCUUUUAUAUGGGAGUAAAAUGUUCCACGUGUGGGAUUUUGUAUGUACCCUAUUAAUAAGGAUCGGCUAACCCCGUGCCAGCAGCCGUGGUAAUACGGAGGAUCCGAGCGUUCUCCGGAUUUAUUGGGUUUAAAGGGAGCGUAGGUUGAUUGUUAAGUCAGUUGUGAAAGUUUGCGGGUCAACCGGAAAAUUGCAGUUGAAACUGGCAGUCGAGAGUACAGUAGAGGUGGGCGGAAUGCGUGGUGUAGCGGUGAAAUGCUUAGAUAUCACGAAGAACUCCGAUUGCGAAGGCAGGUCACUGGACUGCAACUGACACUGAGGCUCGAAAGUGUGGGUAUCAAACAGGAGUAGAUACCCCAGUAGUC